rnacentral:rRNA from 1 species
UACGUAGGGGGCAAGCGUUGUCCGGAUUUACUGGGCGUAAAGAGCGUGUAGGCGGCCACGCAGGUCCGUUGUGAAAACUGGAGGCUCAACCUCCAGCUGUCGACGGAAACCGUGUGGCUAGAGUCCGGAAGAGGAGAGUGGAAUUCCUGGUGUAGCUGUGAAAUGCGCAGAUAUCAGGAAGAACACCAAUGGCGAAGGCAGCUCUCUGGGACGGUACUGACGCUGAGACGCGAAAGCGUGGGGAGCGAACAGG